GCUUAUUAAGUAUAAUUUAGUAUAAUUGCCUUCCAAGCAAUAGGUUUAAGGAUUCUUAAAAUAAGUA
rnacentral:tRNA from 1 species